GCCAGGCGUGGUGGCGCACGCCUGUAAUCCCAGCUACUCAGGAGGCUGAGGCAGAAGAAUCACUUGAACCUGGGAGGCGGAGGUUGCAGUGAGCUGAGAUUGUGCCACUGCACUCCAACCUGGGUGACAGAGUGAGACUCUGUCUCAA
rnacentral:SRP_RNA from 1 species